rnacentral:SRP_RNA from 1 species
GUCAGGCAUGGUGGUGCAUGUCUAUAAUGCCAACUACUAGGAAGGCUGAAGAUGGCAGAUCUCUUGAGCUUGAGAGUCAUGAACUUCCGUCAGUCGAAGAUAAUUGGGUGUCACACUAAGUUCAACAUUAAUAUAGAGGGCCUCUUGAAGUGCAGAGCAAGCCAUAAGGUUGCCUAAGGAGGGGUGAACUGGACCAGGUCAGAAACAGAGAAAAUCAAAGCUCCUGUGCCAAUCAGCAGCAGGAUCAGGCCCAUGAGUGGUCCCUGCACUUCCAACCUGGGUGACAUAGUUUUUCAUUU